rnacentral:rRNA from 1 species
UACGUAGGCGGCAAGCGUUGUCCGGAAUUAUUGGGCGUAAAGCGCGCGCAGGCGGUCGGGUGUGUCAGAUGUGAAAUCCCGAGGCUCAACCUCGGAACUGCGUCUGAAACUACUCGACUAGAGUACUGGAGAGGGUAACGGAAUUCACGGUGUAGCAGUGAAAUGCGUAGAUAUCGUGAGGAACACCAGAGGCGAAGGCGGUUACCUGGACAGUUACUGACGCUCAGGCACGAAAGCAUGGGGAGCAAAAGGG